rnacentral:sRNA from 2 species
UGCCACUGAGCGCCCCAUGCGUGGGGCGGCACGUGAUGCACACAUGGAUACACUACACUGUAGAACUGUCGUUUCUCUGACGG